UCCCCAAUUCGAAAAGAAAUGGUCAGAAAUUCCACCAAAUAUGGUAAUUACGAUUCCCACGGUCCCACCUUCCAAAUCGGUAUACACAUUAUACAAACCCUAACAGAAAUCAAUUCCCUUUUGCCUUCCCUUUCUUCUUUGUCCUUCCCAUCCGAUUUCAAGCUUCAGUAUCUGAAUUGUCAAUUUUCAAUUCCCAGCUUCUGAUUCUUGUCAUUUUUGCGUGCAAUGAUCCCCCACCCUGUUCUUCCCAAUGGGCUUCACUCCAAUUUUAGUUUUCUUGGUUGGUUCUAUACGUGUUGAUUCUUUCUUUACUUUUCAGUCCCUUUGCUGUCCCCAAAUUGAUAUUGAUUUUGAUUUUCCCCAUUGCCUUUGAUUUCCAAUUUGUCAGUUUUGGGCUAACAGUAAAAAAGAGAGAAGAAAAAAGGGCAAAUUAAGGGCGUUUUGAGAGUUAUGGUCUACAAAAUUGGUCGACACCAUUCUGUUUUUGUUUACUUGUGGGUUGAGUUGCUUGUAAAAAGUGAAGCUAUUGUCACAGAUCUGCUAUUUAUAAAUAUAUGUAUUUGGAGGGAAGAACAAUUUUAUUAGUUCUAAAGAGUUGUCAUUUUAAGGGGAAUACUUUUCCUAAACAUUUUUGGAAGAUUGGGCGAAGUAAUUAUGUAGUAGUUAGAAUAAUUAAAGUGACUUAAAGUUUCGUUAUGAUUUUUAAACUCGUUAAUGGCCAAGUAACCAAACGUCAUGAAAAUUUUGGUAAGUGUAUUUAAUGAGUUAAAAAACUUUUUUUUUUCUUUUUUUUUUGCUAUUUUCAAAUUUCUAUUAAACUCACUGUGAUGAUUUUCUAAAAUUGAUUAUUGAGAGUAGUAUUUUUAAAUGUGUUUCAUUAAAAACAGACUCCAAAAGUUAUUUCUAACUCUAAAACAUAUUUGGAUGUAUAGUAAAAGAUGCGUUUGAAGAUUCUAAUAACACAUUAGAUGAUAUACUUUGAAGUGUUUGAAGCACUUUCUGCUUCUUCGAAGAGUGAUGAAAUGCUUGUUACUCUAAACUCACUCUAUCUAGUUAUGAAAGAAGAAAAAGAAAAACUUCUAUAAAAGAGUCAGGACUGAGUUUUGUUCUAAAAAGUCAGCUCCUUAGCCAGUACUUAGGAGCUUAGUACAUCUUAGGGAUCAUUCACGCAAAAAUGACACGAAUUAUAGGUUGGUUUCGCAAAGAUUUGAUGGAACUUAAGUUAGAGCUGUUUCACUACUUUACAUAUGUGCUUCAUACACCAGCAACGAACGAUGGAACGAGGUACUCUCAAACCCUUAUUCAAGUUAAAUUUGCUUCUGCAUUUCAUAAAUUAUGGAAUUUUUUCAUUUCCCUCGCGUGGUUUUUAUCUUUAGAUUUCCAUUUCUGUUUCUCCUUGGUUGGGAGUUUUCUGAAGCUGUUUUGACAAUUGGUAGAACAGAUGGAAGUUCUUGAGGAACCACCCUUCAUUUUCUUUAGGCUCUAAAAGUUGUUUCUUACUUUGUAGACAAGCUUUAUUAUUUAGAAAUAGACAACUGAAAACAAAAUGGAUGGUUUGCUAGCUUGUACAGACAAACAGUUUUCAAAAGUUAUUUUGAAGAAUUAUGAAUGGUUGUAAAUGUUUGGAUUCAUUGACAAUUAUUUACAGGUCUGUGAUCUAAUAAGAACAACUUGAGUAGUUAUUGGAGCAUGUUUUCAUUAUAAUUUUCUAAAAGUAGUCUAUGAUCCAGGAUGUGAUUAUAUACUUGUUACAUUGCCAACCCAAAAGAAAAUUUCCUUAAACGUCAUGCUUCUUAAUUGUUCCUUUGUCAAAAUGUACCUUGUUUUUUCGUGGAAAGAGCGAAGAGCAUAGCUUUGCUCCCAGAGGAAUAAUUGCUAACGUGGAUAAGCGGCUGAGUGACAAGAUUGGUUCUAACUGUGAUAGAAUGAUGCAACGAUUAUGAAGUCAAUUGUAUUUCGAGAUUCAGUGACUCCAAUUACAAGCAAGUUAAUCCUUCACAAAUUGUCCAUGCUUAUGACUGGAUCAAAUAUUUGUUUUACCUUUGUAAUUACCUCUUGCACAUUAGAUAUUGUUGAUGUCUAAUGAACAAUAUGUUUAUGAUUCAAUCAAAAAUCAAGUUUCUCUUGGGCCAAAGAGAGAUGGGUCCCAUUAUUCCAGUCCUGAAAUCAAAACUUAAGAAACUUUU